AAACAGAACAAUUGUGGGAGGAACUAGUUUCUAUAGCACUGGUUCCAGGAGUUAAUACCGGAUAUACACGUUUCUCUCUUCAGUAUCUCUUUACUCAUUCCCAGAAUGAGAUCCCCUUCUUCCGCAAAUAAUAGUCUCUUCUUCUUCAUCCCCAAAUCAUUAACUCUUUGCAUUCAUCACCAUCAACAGUUCGAGUUUAACAAGGUUUCUUAUUAUUUCAUUCACAUACUCAAAUUCAAUAAAUCCUCCGAGAAAUAAAAAUCCAUUUUCUUUCUCAUUAAUUAGAAAUCCAAAAUUGAAAUCGAAAACGAACCUCAAUUAACAUCACAGAUCGAAACUCACUGUCACAGAUCAUAGCUUUAUCAUAAUCCCCAUCUCAAAAUCAAGACGCAUAUAUCAACAUAAAUUAAUACCAAACUUUGUUACCCUAGAUUUAGUUUUUUUCCUCAUGAAAUCACCAGUUAUUUGAUCUUACCUUUCAACAGAACUCGUCAAGUAGUAAAGUGGUUUGAAGAUCUCUUCUUUAAGUGAUAAGCUAAUGUCAAGGAGAAGAACCUGAUUUUCUUGAUUCCUUUCCGAAAAAAGUUAGUAAAUGUGUUGAAGCCUUUCAAGAGAUUCGGGAGAUGAGGAAACGGAAGGGAAAGAACAAAUGGAUGCAGCUUAUAUCUUAACUGAUGGUGAAGCCUCGAGCUUAGUAUUACUAGUCACCAUAAGUUUCAGUUAGACGUAUGAUGACCAAGGAGCAGUUUGGAUGAAGUUGGACUUGUACGUUGUGACUUUAAUGAUUUCAAUGUAAUGCCUAUGGCUGCAGAUGCGAAGGGACUUGCACCAAUUCAAGAACUCGUGAUUGUGCAAAAUCGAAUGGAGUUGAUUUUCCAUAUGUUAGCAGAUACGGGGGCAGGUAUCACGUACGGCAAGUAAAGGAUGAGGAGUAAGAAGUUGAGACUUUAUUCCCUCUAGUGCUCUUGUAUGCAAAUGAAUACACGCGUGUUUACAAAAUCUAAUCAGCGUUGAUCAUCUGUGACAAGACAGUGCUCAUAUUGCAGGUUGUAGAAACUCCAAGAGGGGGCAAGGUGAAACAUGAACUCUACAAAAGAACUGGACUCGUCAAGUGUUGAAGUUGAACAAUAUCUGAACUGUGAAUGAAGAGUAGUUGCAAUGAAGACAAGGGAUGUUGCAGAAUCCUGAACAUCUUUGAACAACCACUAAUUCAAAGAUAAGUUUUCAUUUCUCUUUGUUGAUCCCUUUACAUAAUAUUUAUAUGAAAACUUAUGCAUUUGAGCUCGACAAGAACUCAGGUAUAUUAACAUAAAAUUUGAUAUCUGUGCGUUUUUGGUAAGCUCCAUUAUAUAUUCAGAUAAGCAUUAGCAGCUAACUGUUUUACAUCCCGUAUGAGUUUUGAUCUUUCUCCAUGAACUGAUAUAACUGAUAAGCAUAUAUCUCGUAUUAUCUCAUAAACAUGUAUCCAUGAACAUUAACCUUGCAUUUAAACUCAGAAAUUGUAUAUGUUGUUGAUAAAUGUUAAACGAAAAUGUGCAGGUUCUGAAAAUUUGCUUCAACUGAACUGAGUAGUGGAGCUACAACAGAACGAACGAUAGAAUUGUUAUAGUAGUCAAAGCUUGCUGCAAGACAAGAUAAAAAGAGCCAUGGUGAAUAACUUUUGAGCAUCUUGGAUGUCAGAGAAAGAUUAUCAAUGAUGAACUCAUGGUAGAACCUUGCUCCUUAGUUGAGACAAUUCUUAUCUUAAGCUUGCGAUAUGAAUAUAGGUUAAGGUUCUCCAACUUAGUGUCAGAAGUUUUUCAGACUUGGAACUUGUAGUGUUUUUGUUAGUUGAAACUGUAAACUGAAUACAUUUUUCAAUAUAAACUGAGUUCUAAAGCCA